GGGUGAGUAACACGUGGGUGAUCUGCCUGGAAGCCUGGGACAACAGCUGGAAACGGCUGCUAAUACCGGAUGAAGUCUAUCAUUCGUUUGAUAGACCAAAGAAUUUCGCUUCCAGAUGAGCCCGCGGCCCAUUAGCUAGUUGGUGGGGUAAGGGCCUACCAAGGCGACGAUGGGUAGCCGGUCUGAGAGGAUGGUCGGCCACACUGGAACUGAGACACGGUCCAGACUCCUACGGGAGGCAGCAGUGGGGAAUUUUGCGCAAUGGGCGAAAGCCUGACGCAGCGACGCCGCGUGAGUGACGAAGGCCUUCGGGUUGUAAAGCUCUGUUGAGGGGGAAGAUAAUGACGGUACCCCUUAAGAAAGCCCCGGCUAACUACGUGCCAGCAGCCGCGGUAAGACGUAGGGGGCGAGCGUUGUCCGGAAUUACUGGGUGUAAAGGGCGUGUAGGCGGCUAAGUAAGUCAGCUGUGAAAUUCCCCGGCUCA
rnacentral:rRNA from 1 species